rnacentral:rRNA from 1 species
UCGUGAGACAGUUCGGUCCCUAUCUGCCGUGGGCGCUGGAGAACUGAGGGGGGCUGCUCCUAGUACGAGAGGACCGGAGUGGACGCAUCACUGGUGUUCGGGUUGUCAUGCCAAUGGCACUGCCCGGUAGCUAAAUGCGGAAGAGAUAAGUGCUGAAAGCAUCUAAGCACGAAACUUGCCCCGAGAUGAGUUCUCCCUGACUCCYUGAGAGUCCUGAAGGAACGUUGAAGACGACGACGUUGAUAGGCCGGGUGUGUAAGCGCAGCGAUGCGUUGAGCUAACCGGUACUAAUGAACCGUGAGGCUUAACCUUACAACGCCGAAG